CGACGCGCAAGUUGCCAGCGAUUCUUUGUUCUUUUUCUUCCGAGGCCAAGAUCGAUUUGCUCCCCCGCCCCUCCCUUCUUGGACCGUGCUUGUUAUUGAGCCUGUAAACUACAUUUCCCAAGAUGCCACGCGCAAGAUGGCGCCCAUUCAUUUUUCGCGUGCCGGGAAGCGAAAUUACCACUCGGGGCAUAAACGUGACAGGGGCUGAGGUGGAAGGAUCGCUUGAGUCCAGGACUUCAAGACCAGCCUGGGCAAUAUGGUGAGAUCCCCGUCUCUACAAAUAAUAAAAAUAGCCGGGCGUGGUGGUGUGUGCGAGUAGUUCCAGCUACUUGGGAGGCUGAGGUGGGAGGAUUGCAUGAGCCUGGGAGGUCAAGGCUGCAGUGAGCCUUGAUCUUGCCACUGCACUCCACUGUGGGUGACAGAGUGAGACCCUGUCUCAACAAACAAACAAAACCAGUUGUUAAACCAGCUGUUUAACAACCAGUUUGCAAAAUUUCUGAAAAUUGAACAGCUCCUCCCAACCUGUAUAAGUUGGCUCCAGCAUGUCCUUCCCUUUGUUCAUUCAUUUUAAUCCUGGCAACAUGCAUAUGAGUAUUAGCCAGGGGCGGCGGCAUGUGCCUUUAGUCCCAGCUACUCCAGAGGCUGAGGUGGGAGGAUCCCUGGAGCCCAGGGGUUUGAAUCUAGUCUGGGCAACAUAGCGAGAACCCAUGUCUCUUUAAAAAAUAAAAGGGCUGGAUGCAGUGGCUCACGCCUAUAAUCCCAGAACUUUGGGAGGGCGAGGCGGGGGGAUCACUUGAGGUCAGGAGUUGGAGACCAGCCUGGCCAACAUAGUGCAACCCCGUCUCUACUAAAAAUACAAAAAUUAGCUGGGCGUGGUGAUGCGCACCUCUAGUCCCAGCUACUCAGGAGGCCAAGGUGGGAGGAUCACUUGAACCUGGGAGGUGGAGGUUGCAGUGAGCCGACAUCGUGCUACUGCACUCCAGCUUGGGCGACAGAGUGAGACCCUGUCUCAAGAAAAAAAAAAAAAACAGAAUGAUUGAUUCCUUAGCACACGAGCUUCACCAGGCAGGGAUUCCUGUUCUGUCAUGUUCACUGCUGCCUCCCAGUGCCUGGAACAGGGGUG
rnacentral:lncRNA from 10 species